rnacentral:lncRNA from 7 species
GGAACAUCCGCGCCCGGACUCUACCUAGCCACGGGUCCCACGCGCCCCCACUCCUCUCCCCUUCAAACCGUCUCUCCCACAACGCGAGGAUCCGGCAACCAUGCACGCAGCCAUGGAGGCAGCCGGCCUCGGUCUCCGAUCCCCGGUGUGGCGUGGCCAGCCAGCGCGGCCCACCAGCACAGACUUCCACCGGCGAGCCUUCUUCUCU